GCCGCUCCUGUUUGUUGGUUAGAGCGUCCGCCAGGGAUGCGGGAUGUCGCGGGUUCGAACCCCGGCCAAACA